rnacentral:rRNA from 1 species
CCCUUAGAUGUUCUGGGCCGCACGCGCGCUACACUGAUUCAUUCAACAAGUUUUACCUUGGCCGAGAGGCCUGGGAAAUCUUUCAAAUAUGUAUCGUGAUAGGGAUAGAUUAUUGCAAUUAUUAAUCUUGAACGAGGAAUUCCUAGUAAAUGCAGAUCAUCAUUCUGCGUUGAUUACGUCCCUGCCCUUUGUACACACCGCCCGUCGCACCUACCGAUUGAAUGAUCCGGUGAAGCCUCGGGAUUGUGCCCAGAGAACUUUAUUGUGAUUUGGGUGUGAGAACUUGUCUAAACCUUAUCAUUUAGAGGAAGGUGAAGUCGUAACA